rnacentral:rRNA from 1 species
AACCGGAUUAGAUACCCUGGUAGUCCACGCUGUAAACGAUGAUCACUAGACGUUAGUUCCGUUUAACGGAAUUAGUGUCGUAGCUAACGCGUUAAGUGAUUCGCCUGGGAAGUACGGUCGCAAGAUUAAAACUCAAAGGAAUUGACGGGGGUCCGCACAAGCGGUGGAACAUGUGGUUUAAUUCGACACUACGCGAGGAACCUUACCUAGGCUUGACAUGCUUGUGACAGCUGCAGAAACGCAGUCUUCUUAGCUUCGGUUAAGACACAUUCACAGGUGCUGCAUGGCUGUCGUCAGCUCGUGCCGUGAGAUGUUUGGUUAAGUCCUCUAACGAGCGCAACUCUUGCUAUCAGUUGCUACUUUUAAGUAAAGCACUCUGAUGGGACUGCCUGGGAAACCAGGAGGAAGGUGGGAAUGACGUCAAGUCAGCAUGGUCCUUAUGCCUAGGGCUACACACGUGUUACAAUGGUCGGUACAAAGGGCUGCUAAGUCGUGAGAUGGAGCUAAUCCCAGAAAGCCGAUCUAAGUUCAGAUUGAGGUCUGCAACUCGACCUCAUGAAGUUGAAAUCGCUAGUAAUCGCAUAUCAGCAACGAUGCGGUGAAUACGUUCUCGGACCUUGUACACACCGCCCGUCACACCAUGAGAGCUGUUCGUACCCGAAGCCAUCUUAGCCAAAUCACUAGUGCGGCCGCCUGCAGGUCGACCAUAUGGGAGAGCUCCCAACGCGUUGGAUGCAUAGCUUGAGUAUUCUAUAGUGUCACCUAAA